GUCUCAGGCCGUAUCAGCCUGAAGGCGCCCGAUCUCGUCUGAUCUCGGAAGCUAAGGAGGGUCGGGCCUGGUUAGGAUCUUGGAUGGGAGACCACCUGGGAAUCCCGGGUGCUCGAGGCU
ensembl:rRNA 5S_rRNA 5S ribosomal RNA